AUGACCCCCCAGGGCUUUGACUGUGGCAACCUUCCCCACAAAAAGGACAAAAAAAGGCGAGUCGCACCCAAAUCAAACCCCAGUCUUCAGUCCGCCGCCUGCGCCUACCUCCGCGUCAUCGGAGUGCCGGCCGCCGCCGCCGCCCGUCGCGCCCGCAUUUGCCUCACCGAGCAAGACCGAGUGAGGGAGAUCGCUCAGGUCAACAGUGUGGCCGGCAUGGACAUGGAGGCGAUUAUUGCGAGCGCCAAUCGUCUCCUUGAGAUGGCCGGGGGUACCCACCCACAUCCGGAUGCUCUGGGACGCCUCCGGCGGGUGCUGGACGUCACUGCGGCACAUUGCAUCUCUGACCCCACCUUCGGCGAUUCUUUCAAACAUAUGUUGGACGACUUUGUUGGCAAUUUCAGCAAUGACACCAGGAAGGUGGACAACCUCACCGCUCGCCUCCAGGCCACGCGCAGCCAUAAAGGCCACCAUAAAGGCCGCCGCCAAGGUGUCUCCCCCACUGCCCAGCUCGCCGGCCUUCAUGGAAAUGAUCUAUUCCGUGCACUGAUGGCCCUGCACCUGCCUGUGACCGCGCCUGCGGAGCUCUGCCUUGAGGUCGCUCUCGCCGCGCAGAACCUCAUGGCGCAUGACCAGCUCGACCUUUUCAUCCACCUCUUUGAGGAGGCCAUCUUGCAGGGGCAGGGCGACACUAUGGCGAUCAACGAGUACAACCUCAUGGCCUUCAUGGACCACAGGAAAACCUUGGAUAAGUUCGUGCAAGAGCACAUUGACCUCGCCGACUCCGCUGCCACCUCACGUGCAACAACUGGCCGAGCGAAGUAA
rnacentral:rRNA from 1 species